CCCUUAGAUGCUCUGGGCCGCACGCGCGCUACACUGAUGCAUUCAACGAGUCUAAAACCUGCUCUGAUAGGGGUGGGUAAUCUUUUGAAUGUGCAUCGUGAUUGGGAUAGAUGAUUGCAAUUUUUCAUCUUCAACGAGGAAUGCCUAGUAAACGCAAGUCAUCAGCUUGCAUUGAUUACGUCCCUGCCCUUUGUACACACCGCCCGUCGCUCCUACCGAUUGAAUGAUCCGAUGAAUAUCAUGGAUUGAGGAUGCAAGUAGGUUAGCCUAUCUUCAUCUUCGAGAAGUGAAGUAAAUCUUAUCAUUUAGAGGAAGGAGAAGUCGUAACA
rnacentral:rRNA from 1 species